rnacentral:rRNA from 1 species
UACGAAGGGGGCUAGCGUUGUUCGGAAUUACUGGGCGUAAAGCGCGCGUAGGCGGUGAUCUUUGUCAGAGGUGAAAGCCCGGGGCUCAACUCCGGAAUUGCCUUUGAAACGGGAUCGCUCGAGUCCGAGAGAGGAUGGCGGAAUUCCUAGUGUAGAGGUGAAAUUCGUAGAUAUUAGGAAGAACACCGGUGGCGAAGGCGGCCAUCUGGCUCGGUACUGACGCUCAGGCGCGAAAGCGUGGGGAGCAAACAGG